UCCUGACUGACCGAUAGUGAACCAGUACCGUGAGGGAAAGGCGAAAAGAACCCCGGCGAGGGGAGUGAAAAAGAACCUGAAACCGUGUACGUACAAGCAGUGGGAGCCUCUUUAUGGGGUGACUGCGUACCUUUUGUAUAAUGGGUCAGCGACUUAUAUUCUGUAGCAAGGUUAACCGAAUAGGGGAGCCGAAGGGAAACCGAGUCUUAACUGGGCGUUAAGUUGCAGGGUAUAGACCCGAAACCCGGUGAUCUAGCCAUGGGCAGGUUGAAGGUUGGGUAACACUAACUGGAGGACCGAACCGACUAAUGUUGAAAAAUUAGCGGAUGACUUGUGGCUGGGGGUGAAAGGCCAAUCAAACCGGGAGAUAGCUGGUUCUCCCCGAAAGCU
rnacentral:rRNA from 1 species